GAUGAACGCUGGCGGCGUGCCUAAUACAUGCAAGUCGAGCGAACAGACGAGGAGCUUGCUCCUCUGACGUUAGCGGCGGACGGGUGAGUAACACGUGGAUAACCUACCUAUAAGACUGGGAUAACUUCGGGAAACCGGAGCUAAUACCGGAUAAUAUAUUGAACCGCAUGGUUCAAUAGUGAAAGACGGUUUUGCUGUCACUUAUAGAUGGAUCCGCGCCGCAUUAGCUAGUUGGUAAGGUAACGGCUUACCAAGGCGACGAUGCGUAGCCGACCUGAGAGGCUGAUCGCCCACACUGGAGCUGGGACACGGUCCAGACUCCUACGGGAGGCAGCAGAAGGGAAUCUUCCGCAAUGGGCGAAAGCCUGACAGAGCAACGCCGCGUGAGUGAUGAAGGUCUUCGGAUCGUAAAACUCUGUUAUUAGGGAAGAACAAAUGUGUAAGUAACUAUGCACGUCUUGACGGUACCUAAUCAGAAAGCCACGGCUAACUACGUG
rnacentral:rRNA from 1 species